rnacentral:rRNA from 1 species
AAUCUUCCGCAAUGGGCGAAAGCCUGACGGAGCGACGCCGCGUGGGUGAAGAAUGCCGAGAGGUUGUAAAACCCUUUUCUCAUAGAAGAAUAAGUUUCAGAGGUAAUGCUGGAGCGAUGACGUUAUAUGAGGAAUAAGCACCGGCCAAUUACGUGCCAGCAGCCGCGGUAACACGUAAGGUGCGAGCGUUGUUCGGAAUUAUUGGGCGUAAAGGGCUCGUAGGCGGCCUGCCAAGUUCCACGUGAAAGACCAGGGCUCAACCCUGGGAGCGCGAGGAAAACUGGCAAGCUGGAAUCUUGGAGGGGUACUGGAAUUCCUAGUGUAGGGGUGAAAUCUGUUGAUAUUAGGAAGAACACCGGAGGCGAAGGCGAGUACCUGGCCAAAGAUUGACGCUGAUGAGCGAAAGCGUAGGGAGCGAACAGGAUUAGAUACCCUGGUAGUCUACGCCGUA